rnacentral:rRNA from 1 species
CUCCUACGGGAGGCAGCAGUGGGGAAUCUUGCACAAUGGACGAAAGUCUGAUGCAGCAACGCCGCGUGGGGGAUGAAGCUUUUCGGAGUGUAAACCCCUUUCGACCCGGGAGAAUGCCCGCAAGGGUUUGACGGUACGGGUAUAAGAAGCCCCGGCUAACUACGUGCCAGCAGCCGCGGUAAUAC